rnacentral:tRNA from 1 species
GGAGAUAUAGCUCAAGUGGUAGAGCACGUGCUUAGCAUACACAAGGUCCUGGGUUCAAUCCCCAGUACCUCCU